rnacentral:rRNA from 1 species
GACGAACGCUGGCGGCGUGCUUAACACAUGCAAGUCGAACGGAAAGGCCCAGCUUGCUGGGUGCUCGAGCGGCGAACGGGUGAGUAACACGUGGGUGAUCUGCCCCUAACUUCGGGAUAAGCUUGGGAAACUGGGUCUAAUACCGGAUAGGACAAUCGUUUAGUGUCGGUUGUGGAAAGUUUUUUCGGUUAGGGAUGAGCCCGCGGCCUAUCAGCUUGUUGGUGGGGUAAUGGCCUACCAAGGCGUCGACGGGUAGCCGGCCUGAGAGGGUGGACGGCCACAUUGGGACUGAGAUGCGGCCCAGACUCCCACGGGAGGCAGCAGUGGGGAAUAGUGCACAAUGGGCGCAAGCCUGAUGCAGCGACGCCGCGUGGGGGAUGACGGCCUUCGGGUUGUAAACCUCUUUCGACAGGGACGAAGCUUUGGUGACGGUACCUGUAUAAGAAGCACCGGCUAACUACGUG